rnacentral:rRNA from 1 species
UCUACGGGAGGCAGCAGUGAGGAAUAUUGGUCAAUGGACGCAAGUCUGAACCAGCCAAGUAGCGUGCAGGAUGACGGCCCUCCGGGUUGUAAACUGCUUUUAGUUGGGAAUAAAAGGGGGCUCGUGAGCCCCGUAUUGUAUGUACCAUCAGAAAAAAGACCGGCUAAUUCCGUGCCAGAAGCCGCGGUAAGACGGAAGGUCCGGGCGUUAUCCGGUUUUAUUGGGUUUAAAGGGAGCGUAGGGCGGAUUUUAAGUAAGGUGUGAAAGUCCGCGGCUCAACCGGUGAAUUGCAGUUGAAACUGGAGGCCUUGAGUGCACAGAGGGAUGGCGGAAUUCGUGGUGUAGCGGUGAAAUGCUUAGAUAUCAUGAAGAACUCCGAUCGCGAAGGCAAGUGUCCGGGGUGCAACUGACGCUGAGGCUCGAAAGUGCGGGUAUCAAACAGGAUUAGAUACCCGUGUAGUC